UGCAGGGACUUAAGCCGGGGGGGCGUGAAACAGGGCAUCUCAAAGUUUUUAAGUAAAGGAUUAUUUUUCUACUAUUUAUUGAACUUGACAUACGUGAACUCUGGAGGGAAAGGACAAGGAAGCCACUAUCAGCGUACCCACCCAUCCUCCUCCCCGUCCCGCUGUGGCGAGCAGGCGAUCUCUCUUGAGGAAUUCCGUUUCUCGUUUAGCUGACACCAGCGCCUGCCCCGGUCCCUCAGAUGGUUGGGGCAGGGGGUGGAAAGGAAAUGAAGAAAUCCUUCUCCGUCCUGUUUACAUUCAUUUUCUUCCCCACCACUCCUCGGCCACUCAGCGAUGCCAUCUCCUCGGGCAGCGAAACCCAGUGUGGCUUGUGGGUCGGAUUGGGGGUAGAGGUGAAGCCGCCCUCACCCCAAAAAUGGCAGAAGCAAGGUAAAGUUCGAAUUGGGACGGUGGCAGGAAGCAAGGUUAGGUGACUUCACUGGGAACCUGUAGGCACCUGCGACGAAACUAAUCGUAUUUAGACUGUGAGCUCAUUGGGCGCAGGGAUUGUCACUCUCUAUUGUUGUAUUGGACUUUCCCAAGUGCUUAGUACAGUGCUCUGCCCACAGUAAGCU
rnacentral:lncRNA from 1 species